rnacentral:rRNA from 1 species
AUUGAACGCUGGCGGCAUGCCUUACACAUGCAAGUCGAACGGCAGCACGGGAGCAAUCCUGGUGGCGAGUGGCGAACGGGUGAGUAAUGUAUCGGAACGUACCUUUCAGUGGGGGAUAACGUGGCGAAAGUUACGCUAAUACCGCAUAUUCUGUGAGCAGGAAAGCAGGGGAUCGCAAGACCUUGCGCUGAUUGAGCGGCCGAUAUCAGAUUAGCUAGUUGGUGAGGUAAAGGCUCACCAAGGCGACGAUCUGUAGCGGGUCUGAGAGGAUGAUCCGCCACACUGGAACUGAGACACGGUCCAGACUCCUACGGGAGGCAGCAGUGGGGAAUUUUGGACAAUGGGCGCAAGCCUGAUCCAGCCAUGCCGCGUGAGUGAAGAAGGCCUCGGUUGUAAGUACACUUUGUUCGGUAGGAAAGUACAAUGUCGGUUAAG